GGUAGAUGUACUAGUUUGUUUUAAAUAACCAGUCGCGUAGCCUCUUUUGCUUUAGUUCUCAUCUCAGCCCUAAUUCGCAAAUUCCUCCAAAAUCCCCAAAUCGCCUCCUACAGCAACGCCGCCCGUCACCGCUCGUCUGCCGGUGAGCACGCCGCCGCCUGCAUCCCCUCGGCCGGCCGUUCCUCCUGCAGCUUCUCCGCCGCCGCCUGCAACCCCUCCGCCGGCCGAACCUGCUCCAGCUUCUCCGCCGCCGACUGCAACCCGCAACCCCUCCGCCGGCCGAACCUCGUCCAGCUUCUCCGCCUCCGCCUGUGCUUUCCCCGCUCCCACCGGUUGCACCUACGCCGGCUCCGGUUGCUUCCUCCGUCAUAGAAAUCAGGUCCGU
rnacentral:lncRNA from 1 species